rnacentral:tRNA from 1 species
AGUCUAAUAGCACACCUGCUUCAAGAGCAGGGAGGCGCUGGUUCAAGUCCAGUC